GAUGAACGCUAGCUACAGGCUUAACACAUGCAAGUCGAGGGGAAACGACAUUGAAGCUUGCUUCGAUGGUCGUCGACCGGCGCACGGGUGAGUAACGCGUAUCCAACCUGCCUCUGACCAAGGGAUAACCCGUCGAAAGUCGGCCUAAUACCUUAUGCAGUCGUCGGAAGUCAUCUGAUGACGACGAAAGAUUUCAUCGGUGAGAGAUGGGGAUGCGUCUGAUUAGCUUGUUGGCGGGGUAACGGCCCACCAAGGCAACGAUCAGUAGGGGUUCUGAGAGGAAGGUCCCCCACAUUGGAACUGAGACACGGUCCAAACUCCUACGGGAGGCAGCAGUGAGGAAUAUUGGGCAAUGGACGAGAGCCUGAACCAGCCAAGUAGCGUGAAGGAUGACGGCCCUAUGGGUUGUAAACUGCUUUUAUGCGGGGCUAAAGUGAGGGACGUGUCCUUCAUUGCAGGUACCGGAUGAAUAAGGACCGGCUAAUUCCGUG
rnacentral:rRNA from 1 species